rnacentral:rRNA from 1 species
AGAUUGAACGCUGGCGGCAGGCCUAACACAUGCAAGUCGAGCGGCAGCACGGGUACUUGUACCUGGUGGCGAGCGGCGGACGGGUGAGUAAUGCCUAGGAAUCUGCCUGAUAGUGGGGGAUAACGCUCGGAAACGGACGCUAAUACCGCAUACGUCCUACGGGAGAAAGCAGGGGACCUUCGGGCCUUGCGCUAUCAGAUGAGCCUAGGUCGGAUUAGCUAGGUUGGUGGGGUAAUGGCUCACCAAGGCGACGAUCCGUAACUGGUCUAGAGAGGAUGAUCGAGUCC